rnacentral:sRNA from 1 species
AAACCACAGUAGCCACUGUCUUGCUCAUACGAGGUGCCCAUCACAGGUCAGCAGAGGACUCCGCCUGUUGUGUCCCUUGGAUAUCUCGGCUGUUGGAGUCAGAAGUUGCCAGUCUUUGAGCCCACGGGAAAGCACACAGGACAUUCCCAGGCAGUGACAUCCUCUUUGGUCACUUCUGCCCACGUCACAUGCCAGGAAACACAAGAUGCCAAGUGGUCGUGAGGCAGGAGACUGGGGUAUUUGAGCAGUGUCAGCCACCACCAUAGCCAGUAAUGCACAGAGGGUGAAUGUGUGCUUCAAACUGUGAGACUGAAUCUUCGGCUAAAUCUUUUUUUUUUUUUCUGUGAGAUGGAGUCUUGCUCUGUCACACAGGCUGGAGUGCAGUGGCACAAUCUCAGCUCACUGCAACCUCUGCCUCCUGGGUUCAAGCAAUUCUCCUGCCUCAGCCUCCCAAGUAGCUGGAAUUAUAGGCAGGUACCACCACAUCCGGCUAAUUUUUGUAUUUUUAGUAGAGACGGGGUUUCACCAUGUUGGCCAGGGUGGUCUCGAACUUCUGACCUUGUGGUCCACCUGCCUUGGUCUCCCAAAGUGUUGGAAUUACAGGCGUGAGCCACAAUGCCCAGCCUAAAUCAUUUCUUAGGGUACACACCUACCUUAAUUCAUCAGGUGCUUGACUUUAAAUGGUUAUUGUCACUGGUCAGUCAUGCCUGACUGACCACUGCAAGGUGGAAGGUUCAUUGAUGCCAAGUGGGUGCUUCAAUGCAGCAUCAAGCUGUCCAGUCCUGUGAAACGCCCACGGAAGGAGCCUGUGGACGAGGACCUGUACCCAGAGCACUACCGGAAAUACUCCGACUACAUCAAAGGCAGCAACCUGGAUGCCCCUGAGCCCUACCGAAUUGGCCGGAUCAAAGAGAUCUUCUGUCCCAAGAAGAGCAACGGCAGGCCCAACGAGACUGACAUCAAAAUCCGGGUCAACAAGUUCUACAGGCCUGAGAACACCCACAAGUCCACUCCAGCGAGCUACCACGCAGACAUCAACCUGCUGUACUGGAGCGACGAGGAGGCCGUGGUGGACUUCAAGGCUGUGCAGGGCCGCUGCACCGUGGAGUAUGGGGAGGACCUGCCCGAGUGCGUCCAGGUGUACUCCAUGGGCGGCCCCGACCGCUUCUACUUCCUCGAGGCCUAUAAUGCAAAGACCAAAAGCUUUGAAGAUCCUCCCAACCAUGCCCGUAGCCCUGGAAACAAAGGGAAGGGCAAGGGAAAAGGGAAGGGCAAGCCCAAGUCCCAAGCCUGUGAGCCGAGCGAGCCAGAGAUAGAGAUCAAGCUGCCCAAGCUGCGGACCCUGGACGUGUUUUCUGGCUGCGGAGGGUUGUCGGAGGGAUUCCACCAAGCAGGCAUCUCUGACACGCUGUGGGCCAUCGAGAUGUGGGACCCUGCAGCCCAGGCAUUCCGGCUGAACAACCCCGGCUCCACAGUGUUCACAGAGGACUGCAACAUCCUGCUGAAGCUGGUCAUGGCUGGGGAGACCACCAACUCCCGCGGCCAGCGGCUACCCCAGAAGGGAGACGUGGAGAUGCUGUGCGGCGGGCCGCCCUGCCAGGGCUUCAGCGGCAUGAACCGCUUCAAUUCGCGCACCUACUCCAAGUUCAAAAACUCUCUGGUGGUUUCCUUCCUCAGCUACUGCGACUACUACCGGCCCCGGUUCUUCCUCCUGGAGAAUGUCAGGAACUUUGUCUCCUUCAAGCGCUCCAUGGUCCUGAAGCUCACCCUCCGCUGCCUGGUCCGCAUGGGCUAUCAGUGCACCUUCGGCGUGCUGCAGGCCGGUCAGUACGGUGUGGCCCAGACACGGAGGCGGGCCAUCAUCCUGGCCGCGGCCCCUGGAGAGAAGCUCCCUCUGUUCCCGGAGCCACUGCACGUGUUUGCUCCCCGGGCCUGCCAGCUGAGUGUGGUGGUGGAUGACAAGAAGUUUGUGAGCAACAUAACCAGGUUGAGCUCGGGUCCUUUCCGGACCAUCACGGUGCGAGACACGAUGUCCGACCUGCCGGAGGUGCGGAAUGGAGCCUCGGCACUGGAGAUCUCCUACAACGGGGAGCCUCAGUCCUGGUUCCAGAGGCAGCUCCGGGGCGCACAGUACCAGCCCAUCCUCAGGGACCACAUCUGUAAGGACAUGAGUGCAUUGGUGGCUGCCCGCAUGCGGCACAUCCCCUUGGCCCCAGGCUCAGACUGGCGCGAUCUGCCCAACAUCGAGGUGCGGCUCUCGGACGGCACCAUGGCCAGGAAGCUGCGGUAUACCCACCAUGACAGGAAGAAUGGCCGCAGCAGCUCUGGGGCCCUCCGUGGGGUCUGCUCCUGCGUGGAAGCCGGCAAAGCCUGCGACCCCGCAGCCAGGCAGUUCAACACCCUCAUCCCCUGGUGCCUGCCCCACACUGGGAACCGGCACAACCACUGGGCUGGCCUCUAUGGAAGGCUCGAGUGGGAUGGCUUCUUCAGCACAACGGUCACCAACCCCGAGCCCAUGGGCAAGCAGGGCCGUGUGCUCCACCCAGAGCAGCACCGCGUGGUGAGCGUGCGGGAGUGUGCCCGCUCCCAGGGCUUCCCUGAUACCUACCGGCUCUUCGGCAACAUCCUGGACAAGCACCGGCAGGUGGGCAAUGCCGUGCCACCGCCCCUGGCCAAAGCCAUUGGCUUGGAGAUCAAGCUCUGUAUGUUGGCCAAAGCCCGAGAGAGUGCCUCAGCUAAAAUAAAGGAGGAGGAAGCUGCUAAGGACUAGUUCUGCCCUCCCGUCACCCCUGUUUCUGGCACCAGGAAUCCCCAACAUGCACUGAUGUUGUGUUUUUAACAUGUCAAUCUGUCCGUUCACAUGUGUGGUACAUGGUGUUUGUGGCCUUGGCUGACAUGAAGCUGUUGUGUGAGGUUCGCUUAUCAACUAAUGAUUUAGUGAUCAAAUUGUGCAGUACUUUGUGCAUUCUGGAUUUUAAAAGUUUUUUAUUAUGCAUUAUAUCAAAUCUACCACUGUAUGAGUGGAAAUUAAGACUUUAUGUAGUUUUUAUAUGUUGUAAUAUUUCUUCAAAUAAAUCUCUCCUAUAAACCAC